rnacentral:rRNA from 1 species
CAAUAGCGUAUAUUAAAGUUGUUGCAGUUAAAAAGCUCGUAGUUGGAUUUCUGGAUGGAGCGACCGGUCGGGCACUAAUUUGUCUGCACUGGAGUCGGUUCCGUCCAUCCUCUUGGAAAGUGCGUGGGGCAUUAAGUUGUCUGGCGUAUGAUCCAAGUCGUUUACUGUGAAAAAAUUAGAGUGUUUAAAGCAGGCCUUCGCCUUGAAUACAUUAGCAUGGAAUAAUAAGAUAGGACUUUGGUCUAUUUUGUUGGUUUGCAGACCGAAGUAAUGAUUAAUAGGGAUAGUUGGGGGUAUUUAUAUUCCGAUGUCAGAGGUGAAAUUCUUAGAUUUUCGGAAGAUAAACUUAUGCGAAAGCAUUUACCAAGGAUGUUUUCAUUAA